AGAGUUUGAUCCUGGCUCAGAAUGAACGCUGGCGGCAGGCCUAACACAUGCAAGUCGAACGCACCGCAAGGUGAGUGGCAGACGGGUGAGUAACGCGUGGGAACCUUCCCUUUGGUUCAGGAUAGCCCCGGGAAACUGGGAUUAAUACUGGAUAAGAUCUACGGAUGAAAGAUUUAUCGCCGAAGGAUGGGCCCGCGUAA
rnacentral:rRNA from 1 species